rnacentral:rRNA from 1 species
UACAGGGGGGGGCAAGCGUUGUUCGGAAUUACUGGGCGUAAAGGCCAGUAGGCGGCCAACUAAGUCACACGUGAAAUCCCCAGGCUUAACCUGGGAACUGCGUGUGAUACUGGAUGGCUUGAAUUCGGGAGAGGGAUGCAGAAUUCCAGGUGUAGCGGUGAAAUGCGUAGAUAUCGGGAGGAACACCGGUGGCGAAGGCGGCCCCCUGGUUGGAUACUGACGCUGAGACGCGAAAGCGUGGGGAGCAAACAGG